UCCUCCUCUCCCCUCCCUCUUGCUCCCACACAGCUUCCCCUCUCCAUUUGCAUGCAAAGACCCUGGAGCAUGUUGAGCAAGGAAGGCAGGGUGCCAAGUCCUAGCAGAACUGACUGAUGAGGGACCUUUGGCCUCAGUUUUGCUGCCAGGGACAGCGAGGCCCCAGAGAAGAGCAGCCUUUGAGAUCUGGCCCCUCUCCACCCUCACGCCAUCUCCCUCAGGCUGGCCUCCUCCUCUUCUGCCUGAACAGCAGCCCCCAUCCCUGCAGUCCCCCCCCCCCCGCCAUGCUAUGUAAUUCUGACCAUUCUCCUGUUUAAAGACCUUCUCUCACUCCCCAGCGCCUCUUGGUAAAAUUCAACCCCAACCCCAUAGGCCUUUGUAAUUUAUCUUCCAGCCUCAUCUCUCCUUCACCUCAGUCCAUCGUCAAGCUGCCAUGCUCUUCUCCUAUUCCGCAGGCAUGCUAGACUUAUCCAUAGUUCCGUGCUUUCCCUGGACUCCAUCUGGAGAACGUCUAGUCAUUCUUCAAGACCCUACUCAUACAUUACCUCCUCCAAGAAGCCUUCCUUGACUUCACAGGGCGUAGUUAGUGGCCACCCCCUCCCCCCAGGAGCAGACUGAAAGGUUCAGUUUUGCUCAAGGCCCUCCAGGCAUGAGUAGUGCCCCAUAUUUCCUGAGGACAAGGACAAUGAGAAUGAGCAGGGCCCAGGGACCAAGUGGAGAGACAGGAACCCAGGAACCGAGAAAGACCAGGAAUACCGUGGGCAACCAGAGAUAAAGAAAUGAAGAGAGGAGAGAGAGACCCUCACAUUCAGCUGUGGUCCUCAGGCCUUCCCUAUAUGAAUUCACGGGUUUCCUUCCUGUUUCCUGUCCCAUGCGCAUUUUCACCCUGCCUUCAAGACCUCAGCUGUCAGGCUUCACACGUUCUCAGGAUGUGUUCCAGAGGGGAAGUAGAUUGGACUCCCAGAAGGAAGAAACUAAGGCAGAGGAAGCGUCCAUGGUGGGGGCCUUACAAUUGAGGACAGCAAAUCUGGUAUGACCGGACACCUCCUCCCCACACCAAUACAAAGACCCACGCCGCACACCUACACAUCUCAACACACAGCCCUCUUGUGGGGCAGCAAACACAGCACACACCCUAACCGCAUUCCCUUGUGCAUCUCUAAUAUGCUCUCCUGCCUCAGCUCCUUCGAGUAGACAAAUCCAAUUUUCCACAGUAAUGGAGCGUGGGGGCAGGCCGCACACACAGACCCCCAAGCACACACAGAAGGCCCCAGGAGACGUGCCCAAGCGGGCCCACAUGCAGAACAACUCAGUCCCGAACCUCUGUUCAAGGACGCCGCCCUUGCCCACGGCACUUCCCAACCAGUACUUCUCCUCACCUGUGUGUGGUCACUUAGUGGUUUCUGCCUUUCUCUACAUCUCUCUGAACUCCAGCCACUGCUCACAUUUGUGGAAUGUUUCUCACUUUUCAAACAGUAUCUCGUGGGACCCUUACACAGCACAGUGAGACAAGCAGGUGAGUGACUUCAUCCUUAUGUGGUGAAUGAGGGAACUGAAGCACAGUGACCUCCUCGAGUCUCACGGAGAGCGCACAGUGGGCUGGAGACCAGAAUCAAGUUAUUCUUCUCUAAAUCCCUUUCUUCAUCCUUUCAUUGACUCAUCAAGUAUUUCCUGAGUGUCUACAUGCUAAGGACAUGGGGAGAACAGAGAAAGGACUGGGGUCCUGCCCCAUGGAGCUUGCUGUCCAAUGGGGGAGACAGACAUCAGCUUUUUAAAAAAAUCACAAAAAUAAAUAGUUACAAUUAUUGUAAAGGUUAUAAAAAACUAUGGUUUUAUGGUGUGUGAAUGAUAGGGAAUCUGACCCAGCCUGGGUAAUCAGGAAAGAAGAGAUGUUUGAAUUGCAAUCUAAAGAACAAGGAGUAGUAAUUAGGUAAAGGUCUGCAUGGGGAGGGGGGCAGGGGUGGUAUUACAGAGAGCAGAGUCUACACCAAGGAGAGGAGAGACCUCCCGGAGGAGGACAUAGCAGGGUAAACACAGGCUGGAAAAGCUAGCAGGACGCAGACCCCUCAGGCCUUGAAGGUUGUUAGCAAGGACUCUGGUCCAAGGACAAUGACAACUCCCUAUGGAAGGAUUUCAAGUGUUUUGAAGAGACCAUCAGGGAGAAUCAGAGGGAUCACUAGAAGACCUGUUAGGAAGCCAGGUUCGGGUAAGGCAUGGAGUGGUGGGGUGGCUUGGAACAGAGUGACAGGGUGGAGAUGUUCAGGAAGCAACAAUGACAGGUUCUGUUCAGGGAGGUGAGGGUGAUGGAGUAUCAGGGAUGACUUCUAGUUUGCAUAAGCAAGUGAAUGAUGGGGUGGCUCUCUAGAUCAGAAACACAAGUAAAGGACUACUUUGAGAGCUUAAGAUGAUGAAUUUGGCUUGCACACACUGGCUCUUGGAGCCUUGGGGACGUCCAAAUGGAGAUGUUAAGAGAGAAAUUGGCCACUGGGACUGAUGCUGAGAGGAGAGAUCUGGGCUGAGACACAUACUUGGCGGUGGUCAGUGUGUAGAUGGGAACUGAAGUCACAAGUGAAGAUGAGCAUGCCCCAGAACAGAAUAUAAAGUUAAGAAGAAAAAUAGAUAGAAAGAAAAAAGGCCUGAUUUUGUAACAUCUACUAAAGCUAAGCAGAAUCCUGACCUAUGACUUAACAACAGCCUAGUUGUACAUCCGAGAGAAACAAGUGCACACAUCAACCGAGAGAAUGAACAAGAAUGUUCAUAGUAGUUUUAUUUACAAUAGCCCCAAACUAGCAACAACUACAAUGUCCAGUAGAAGGAAUAAAUAAAUUAUGGUAAUGAGAUGCUGCAUAGCACUGAAAAAGAACUAACUACUAAAACAGACAAUAAUGAGACUAAAUGUCACAGACAUAAGUAUAAGAAAAAAACCUACCAAACUGAAUAUACUGUAUGGAGGGUACAUAUAUUUUAGGAAGUUUAAGGACAAGUGAAACUUCUCUAUACUGACAGAAGUUAGAAUAAUGGUUAAUUUUUAUGUGGUGGUAUUCACUAGGAAGGGGUCUGGAGGAACUUUCUGAGGUCCCAGAAAUGGUUUACACAUUUAUACCAAUGUACAUACAUACCAGUCAGUGUAAUAUGUGAAAUAUUCAAUUGUAAGCUACACGAACA